rnacentral:tRNA from 1 species
GCCUGGGUGGCGGAACUGGUAGACGCAAGGGACUUAAAAUCCCUCGGUCUUUAAGGCCGUGCCGGUUCGAUUCCGGCCCUAGGCACCA